UGGGGAAUUUUGGACAAUGGGCGAAAGCCUGAUCCAGCAAUGCCGCGUGUGAAGAAGGCCUUCGGGUUGUAAAGCACUUUUGUCCGGAAAGAAAUCCUUGGCUCUAAUACAGUCGGGGGAUGACGGUACCGGAAGAAUAAGCACCGGCUAACUACGUGCCAGCAGCCGCGGUAAUACGUAGGGUGCAAGCGUUAAUCGGAAUUACUGGGCGUAAAGCGUGCGCAGGCGGUUUGCUAAGACCGAUGUGAAAUCCCCGGGCUCAACCUGGGAACUGCAUUGGUGACUGGCAGGCUAGAGUAUGGCAGAGGGGGGUAGAAUUCCACGUGUAGCAGUGAAAUGCGUAGAGAUGUGGAGGAAUACCGAUGGCGAAGGCAGCCCCCUGGGCCAAUACUGACGCUCAUGCACGAAAGCGUGGGGAGCAAAACAGGAUUAGAUACCCUGGUAGUCCACGCCCUAAACGAUGUCAACUAGUUGUUGGGGAUUCAUUUCCUUAGUAACGUAGCUAACGCGUGAAGUUGACCGCCUGGGGAGUACGGUCGCAAGAUUAAAACUCAAAGGAAUUG
rnacentral:rRNA from 1 species